ACGGAGGAUCCAAGCGUUAUCCGGAUUUAUUGGGUUUAAAGGGUGCGCAGGCGGAUCAAUAAGUCGGGGGUGAAAACUUUCGGCUCAACUGGAGUCGUGCCUUUGAUACUGUUGGUCUAGAGUACGAGAGAGGUGAGUGGAAUUCCGUGUGUAGAGGUGAAAUUCGUAGAUAUUGGGAGGAACGCCAGUGGCGAAGGCGGGUCACUGGAUUGAUACUGACGCUGAGGUGCGAAAGCGUGGGGAUCAAACAG
rnacentral:rRNA from 1 species